rnacentral:lncRNA from 1 species
AUGACUCGUGCCUGGGGCUGCCCACAGCUAAGGGGCAACUUGAAAUCACAGCACACAUUUAAACCCGAAAGUUUAAAAAGGAAACCAAAAUCAAUGAAUUUUAGAAAAUAUGCAAAGAUAGCCUCCAGGAAUCCUGCUGCCCUCCAGGCGUGGGCAGCCUCCGAGGACUCCUCUGAAAUGACCCACGGCAAGGAGAGGGGCAGGAGAAAAAACUGCACUGCAGAAUGUGGACGGCCCUCCACUCGGGGAAGGGGUCACGUCCUUGAAGCGGGGCCCUCGGUUACCCGGAGCCUCCUAGAAAGUCUCUCCCUCCCCCUACCGUUCAUGGUAUCUUUAGAAUCAAGGCUACAAACUGCAUGAAUAGCGCGUAAUUCAAUUAACUCUAUAGUCUGAGAUGAAAAAAGGGCCAUUUUGCUAGCUCGAGUGGAGCACUAGUUUAACCCUGGCGCUCAGGAAAUUCCCAGGCCAGACAGCAUAUUAAACCAGCUCUUCAACUUAAGAACAAUUACUGUCAUUUAUCAGCCUGAAUAGCAAUAAUGCACAAAUCGACAGCUUUCAGGAGGCAAAAAGCUAGCUAGGUGUAAUGAUAUGCAAAGCCACAGCACUCUGCAUUUUGAACUGUCUCCAUCCCAUCAAUACAUCUCCUACUACCUACAAUUUAUCAAUACAAAUGUGGUGCCCAAUGAAGGCAGGACCAAGAAGAUAAAUAUGAACGGGGUGAGGGGGGGGGAAAGGCUCAGGAAUGUUUGAAUUUUAAAAUGAUGAAGUACAGAUCACAUUCUUAAAGCAUUUUACAUGCAAUGACCCGAUCACAUCAAGUUCUCUUCUGAAAGGGGAAAGAGAAUAAGGGGAUUUUUCUACUCCAAGGUUGCAGGUAGAUGCAGCUUUUAUUUCCCUCUGUGUUCCCAGAUCAUGUCUUUCACAGAAGGAUGUGAUCAUUUAGGGACUUAAUAAUAAAAGGAAUAACGAGAAUGCUAAUCACAGUGAUGAAUUUGCAUAGAGCCUUUUUCCUAAUUCCUUUCACAUCUAUCACUUCAUUUUAAUUGCAUAAUAUCUGGAAGAGGUAAGAAGAUAAAUAUGAUUAAAUCCCUUUUGAAAGAAAGGGAAACAGAGGUAUGGUGGGAGUUUGAGACACCUCCAUCCCCCUCCCUCAGGGCUCAAAUCAGAGUCCCAACUCCCAGGCCAUCCAGGGCAAGUCACAGCACACCCAUGGCAAGACCAGGCUGCCCGGAAGGGCUGGGGAGGGUUCGAGAACUCUAAAACCCAAAGAGAGUGGAUGCCAGUAGAAAGGGGAGCCAUGGGGGUGGAGCAAGGUGGAGGCAAUGGAAUUGCAAAUUUCAAAACCAGACACAUGGCAUCCCAGGGCUGCAGCACGCAGUGACUGAGCCCCUACUGGGUGCCAGGCACUGGGGGAAGUGGGGACAAAGUCACUGCUGCCCCAGGCCCUGCUCACGGUCCCUGCUGCUCGCACAUCCACCACACCCUGACUUUUGACUGAAGAGCAUCACCUAGCCUGAGAGAGUAAGUUCCUUAACGGCGAAAGAAGUUAGAGAGGGUGGUAUCCAAGAUGGAAAACAUGCCUACACAAGCGAUGGGGACCGUUGCCUCUGGGAGCUUUGGAUACAAGUCAGGCAAACUAGGCCCCCACAGCCUGGUGCUGAUGAAAUUCUGGGGGUUGUUAGCACUGUAGUCACUUGUAUCCUUCACCUGCCAAUUAUGCCACAGACUCAUUCAGGCCUCCCAGCGGGUCCAUCACAGGGACUCAUCAUCUCAGCCCUGAUAUCGUGCAAGGGCCUCUAACUCUGACAUGCAAACUCUUGGCCUUUCGAUAACAUUUUU